UACUUUUAUGGCCAAUCAUUUUGACAGGCACUACUGCGGUAAGUGUGGCCUCACUUACGUUUACCAGAAGGCCGGCGGUGACUGAUCUUAAGUAUCGUCCUGAGGAAGCAUAGAGAAAUUUCGUUUUGAGUAUUAUCUUCUUUUGACCUCGUUGUUGAACUUGCUAUCAUGUCUGUUAUUUUUUAUGGUCUAUUUGGCUACGUUGAAUGAUAAUUUUUGCAGUUUAAUGGUCAAUUUGGAUUUUACUUUACCUUUCAAUCUAUAUUGCUUGCUUGAUAGUUAAUAUGAAUUAAUGGUUUAGAAUUUUUAGAUGCUUGCCCUGGAAUUGUUAGCAAUUUCUGGUUUCAUUGUCAGUUUUAUUAUUGCAAUCCAUAUUGUGCACUAAAGAAGAAUCACACAUUACUUUUUAUUUUUAAUUGGG
rnacentral:misc_RNA from 1 species